rnacentral:rRNA from 1 species
AGAGUUUGAUCCUGGCUCAGGAUGAACGCUGGCGGCGUGCCUAAUACAUGCAAGUCGAACGGAGAGCAUAAUGAAAUUUAUUUCAAUGUGCUUCUCAGUGGCGAACGGGUGAGUAACGCGUUGGUGACCUGCCCCGAAGAGGGGGACAACAGUUCGAAAGGACUGCUAAUACCCCAUGUACUCGUUUAGAUUAGAUGCUUUUCGAGUAAAGGAGUAAUCCGCUUCGGGAGGGGCCUGCGUCCCAUCAGCUAGUUGGUAGGGUAAUGGCCUACCAAGGCUAUGACGGGUAGGGGACCUGAGAGGGUGACCCCCCACAAUGGAACUGAAACACGGUCCAUACACCUACGGGUGGCAGCAGUAGGGAAUAUUGCUCAAUGGGCGAAAGCCUGAUGCAGCAACGCCGCGUGCACGAUGAAGGCCCUCGGGUCGUAAAGUGCUUUUUUAGGGGAAGAGAAAGGACGGUACCCUAAGAAUAAGCCUCGGCUAACUACGUGCCAGCAGCCGCGGUAACACGUAGGAGGCGAGCGUUAUCCGGAUUUACUGGGCGUAAAGCGCGUGCAGGCGGCACGGCAAGUUGGAUGUGAAAGCUCCUGGCUUAACUGGGAGAGGUCGUUCAAAACUGCCGAGCUAGAGAAUGGGAGAGGGAGGUGGAAUUCAGGGUGUAGUGGUGAAAUGCGUAGAUAUCCUGAGGAACACCAGUGGCGAAGGCGGCCUCCUGGCCCAUUUCUGACGCUCAGACGCGAAAGCUAGGGUAGCAAACGGGAUUAGAGACCCCGGUAGUCCUAGCUGUAAACGAUGUAGACUUGGCGUUGGAGGUGUUAAAACCUUCAGUGCCGUAGCUAACGCGAUAAGUCUACCGCCUGGGGAGUACGGUCGCAAGAUUAAAACUCAAAGGAAUUGACGGGUCUCCGCACAAGCAGCGGAGCGUGUGGUUUAAUUCGAUGUUACGCGAAGAACCUUACCAGGGUUUGACAUAUAAGUUGUAGGGAGCCGAAAGGUGACCGACCCUUCGGGGAGCUUAUACAGGUGCUGCAUGGCUGUCGUCAGCUCGUGUCGUGAGAUGUUCGGUUAAGUCCGCUAACGAGCGCAACCCCCGUUGUGUGUUACAAGUGUCACACGGGACCGCCGGCGCUAAGCCGGAGGAAGGUGGGGAUGAUGUCAAGUCAGCAUGGCCUUUAUAUCCUGGGCUACACACACGCUACAAUGGCUAGAACAAUAGGUCGCGAAACCGCGAGGUGGAGCCAAUCCCUAAAUCUAGUCUCAGUUCAGAUUGUAGGCUGCAACUCGCCUGCAUGAAGUCGGAGUUGCUAGUAAACGCAGGUCAGCAACACUGCGUUGAAUACGUUCCCGGAGAUUGUACACACCGCCCGUCACGUCAUGGGAGCUGGUAACGCCUGAAGUCGGUAUCCUAACCGCAAGGAGGGAGCCGCCGAAGGCGGGAUUGGUGACUGGGACGAAGUCGUAACAAGGUA